rnacentral:rRNA from 1 species
AUUGAACGCUGGCGGCAGGCCUAACACAUGCAAGUCGAACGAGUGGCGGACGGGUGAGUAAUGUCUGGGAAACUGCCUGAUGGAGGGGGCUAACUACUGGAAACGGUAGCUAAUACCGCAUACCAUCGGAUGUGCCCAGAUGGGAUUAGCUAGUAGGGGGGGUAAAGGCUCACCAAGGCGACGAUCCCUAGCUGGUCUGAGAGGAUGACCAGCCACACUGGGACUGAGACACGGUCCAGACUCCUACGGGAGGCAGCAGUGGGGAAUAUUGGACAAUGGGCGAAAGCCUGAUACAGCCAUGCCGCGUGUAUGAAGAAGGCCUUCGGGUUGUAAAGUACUUUCAGCGGAGAGGCGUUACCCGCAGAAGAAGCACCGGCUAACUCCGUGCCAGCCGCCGCGGUAAUUC